UCGCACCUCGCCGUCUCUACUGC
rnacentral:miRNA from 1 species